rnacentral:rRNA from 1 species
GGUGAACGCUGGCGGCGUGCCUAAUACAUGCAAGUCGAGCGAACAGACGAGGAGCUUGCUCCUCUGACGUUAGCGGCGGACGGGUGAGUAACACGUGGAUAACCUACCUAUAAGACUGGGAUAACUUCGGGAAACCGGAGCUAAUACCGGAUAAUAUAUUGAACCGCAUGGUUCAAUAGUGAAAGACGGUUUUGCUGUCACUUAUAGAUGGAUCCGCGCCGCAUUAGCUAGUUGGUAAGGUAACGGCUUACCAAGGCAACGAUGCGUAGCCGACCUGAGAGGGUGAUCGGCCACACCGGAACUGAGACACGGUCCAGACUCCUACGGGAGGCAGCAGUAGGGAAUCUUCCGCAAUGGGCGAAAGCUUGACGGAGCAACGCCGCGUGAGUGAUGAAGGUCUUCGGAUCGUAAAACUCUGUUAUUAGGGAAGAACAAAUGUGUAAGUAACUAUGCACGUCUUGACGGUACCUAAUCAGAAAGCCACGGCUAACUACGUG